UACGAAGGUGCAAGCGUUGUCCGGAAUUAUUGGGCGUAAAGAGCGUGUCGGCGGCCCGACCAGUCCGCUGUGAAAGUCCAGGGCUCAACCCUGGAAUGCCGGUGGAUACUGUCGGGCUAGAGUCCGGAAUGGGCGAGUGGAAUUCCUGGUGUAGCGGUGAAAUGCGCAGAUAUCAGGAGGAACACCAAUGGCGAAGGCAGCUCGCUGGGACGUGACUGACGCUGAGACGCGAAAGCGUGGGGAGCAAACAGG
rnacentral:rRNA from 1 species